ACAUUGAAACACCGGUUCCUGUAUGAUCACUGAAGUUAAGCUAUGUUGAGCCUGAUCAACACCUAGAUGGGUUACCACAUGGGAAUACUAGAUGUUGUAA